rfam:Salmonella enterica subsp. enterica serovar Enteritidis str. LA5, WGS project CAGR02000000 data, contig: Scaffold41-Contig1
UUUCGUUAUCCUUCGCCAUCAUUUGACACAUCUGAUUUGCCAUGCAUAAAAAAAGCGGCUGUAAAGCCGCUUUUUUGUAUCG